GUGGUCACUUUGUCAUCAAAUAUACUAAAGAUAAAAUGAUAUAGAAAAAUAUUAGAAUGGACACUGCACAAGGAUGACAGACACAUUUGUAAAGCAGUUAUAGUUUUG